rnacentral:lncRNA from 1 species
GUCCACCAGCCUUCUGAGUCAGCCCUGCCUCUCCUGGGGCGCGCGACUUUUCUGUUCAUACUGACCCUUAGGAAUCCAGGAAGCCUUCUCUGUUUAACAGCCUGACCAGCCUUUGAUGUCUAUACCGACUACUCACCCCCACCACAGCUCGCUCUCUCUCACACUGUCUACACUGACUUCUCAGUCCCACCACCUCUCGGUCUACACAUGCUGUCUACACAGACCCUAACUUCUAACCCUAAUAGAAGAGAUUUGGCCAGAGGCGUGUGGGACCCCCAAUGAGGGCUUUUCCAUUAUGCUAGAAUAUUUCACUCUGGGCACAGUCUUCUCCACCCCGACCGCUCUCCUAAUCUGGUUUUUAUUCCCCGACCUCUCCCUCCUCCCCUACAUCCCCUUUACCUGGUUUUGAGUUUCAGAGGAAAUAUCUGUACCUGCCCUCCUCCUCCACCCCUGUCUGAAUGUAAAGGCCUGAGGGCCCAAUCCUCAUCCUCCACCCUCCCUCCGCUCCCCCGGGUAAAGGCCUGAGGCCUGAGGCCUUGCUAGAAAUUGGAGUUGGGGUGCUGUAGGUAGUGUGGGGAGCUGGCUGUGGGGGCCCAGCUGGGAGGAGCUGGCCUGGGGAGGGCUUUGCCAGUCCUUGCCUCCAUCUACCAGGGCCAAGGAGGACUGAGCCGGUAAAUAUUUUCUUCUCAGCUCCCCCCCUGUGAUGUCUGAUCCAGGCCUCUGCUCUCCUUGGCUGUAAACUCAGCGCACGGAUUGUGUCUUCUUUAAUAUUUUGUAGGAAGCAGAGUACAGUGUCGUGGCUGAUAAAUAAUAAAUAAUAAUAAUCUACUGAGGGUAGCAGGAGCACUGUCAGAAAUGGAAUGAGGACGCCGGGGAAAUGGCCCACUAGUGUCAGAAUAACUGCAUUUCCUGGAAAAAACAUCCAACAGAGUUUGUGUGUGUGAAGCCCGGGACUCAAGGGAGGGGACAGAGCGGAGCACUUCAGGGAGGAAGCCACCCUUCAUGAGGACGACAGCCAGGAAAACUGGCGUGACCUUAAGAGAGGGUGACAGAGGUGCCGAAAAGGGGAGCAGGAGUGGGGGGGAGGGGGAGAAAAGCUCCCCAAGGGUCCUCAGACAACACCUGAAGGUGAUCGAUAGCUUUGGUUUGAGUACUAUGUCCUUCAAAUGGUAUAUGAAAAGUGAUAGAAGAGUACUAGAUAGCAAAAUGGAAAAAAGAGGGAUUUCUUGGGAUUUCAAAUUGAUACACAGGUCAACCCAAUGCAAAAAGAAGGAGAACAAAGCCACAGGCGUGUGUCUGUUCAUCCACGCUGUAGGAAGCUGUCCUCUGAGAUAAUCUCCAUGGAUGCACUGACUGUGAACAUGCAGAAGUCCACCCAGCCGUAUUCUGGAGUAGCGCCCUAUGUGACAGCUGUAGGCACUACAGAAAUGUGGCCAAGGUUUGCAGGGUCUGGGAUAGGUUAAGAUCUGGCAAUGUGAGGCACUCACAGUGUCUUACAGAUGAUUUUGAAUGAUCCUCAGUUGAAAGAAGAAAAUAGGAACUCCAAGAAUCCUUAUUCAGCUACCUCUCCAGAUGAAGGAGAAAGGAUGCUCCCAAUUUCCCUGCUGGCAGCAUCAGAAAAGAGAGCUGUGCUGAGGUCUUAUCCAGAGGAGGACCUACUCGGGCCAUGGUGGUGCGAAGGGCGCUGGUUCUGGGGCACCGCAAACUCUUCAGGGCUGAAGUUUGGUAACAGCUCACCAGGGGAGCCAGCUUGUCAGGGAGAAUGAGAAAAGCUGUGUGAAUUAGACUCCCAGUGGGCUUGUCUACCCUGUCCUCACCCAUCCUCGUUUUAUCCAAGGCUUCCUCGUCAUUGAUGCUCUGCCCUGCUGGGAGCUGUUUAGUGUGGACACAGCCAUUUAUGAAGGGUCUGCGCUGGUCUGCAUAUGAGUUCCAUUUCAGAGUGCUGUUGUUCACAUGAUCUGUCCCAGCGCAUCUAGUGUCUUGGCAACAUAAACUGGAUUUGCAUUGUGUCAGGGGUCUCCUCUCUCUCUCUCUCUACGUAGAUCUUGCUGGUGUCUGGGAUCUUUUUUGGGUCAUUCUUUGCUCUACUCUGUGGCCCAUGGGAUGGGCCCCAUGACUGGCAUGGAUCUCUCUGUGUGGUUCAUGGGACUCGUGUGUUGUGCCCAGAAACCUCUUACACCAUGGUCAAAGAUUUCUCCAUGAAACACAGGAUUGACUUGGUGGUGUGUUCUCCAAAAGCCAACCCUCCCUGUCCUGAGCCCCAAUCUGGGCACUGGGAUCAGGACUAAUGUGUACACUCCAAGCAGAUGGGUAGUGAAGGAGCGGACUCAUAGUGCAUAGGGAAGUGGACUGGAACACUCCAGGACAUCCAUUCCCCGCUCAGAUCAUAGACCAUUAUCUGUGCAGUCAAUCAGACAAGGACUUGUACUGGAAAGGCCACCAUCACCCAAGGAGGAACCAGAGGAAGUCACAUCAGGAACACCUGGGGUGCCACAUAAACCCACAGUGGCCAAGGUGGACUUCUGUCCUUGUCUGUGUUUAUGAUAAUAGCCACAACAAAAGGACCUUUACCCAGUGGCUACUAUAUGUCAGGCACUGUACCAAGAACUCUACCCAUGAUAUCUUGUUAAUCCUCACAGCAACCUGUGGAAUUGGUGUUAUCAGCCCCCAAAACUGAGUUCCAGAGAGGGUAGAUGAGAACCUGCAAUCACACAGUAAGUGACAGUGCUGGAAUUUCAGCCUGAUUGUCCCAAAGCCUCUGUUCUUUUUACCCCACCAAACACACAAAUGCAGUUUCUUUUGUCAUUAGCCCAGUGCUUUUCCCUUGGAGUAGAUACAGUAGAUGCUGAUUUUUGCCUUCAUCAGCAAAAGUCUUUACCCCAGACACAUAACUGGAGAUCAGUCAUAGAACAGAGAGCACUAAUGUAGAAGGGCACAGGUCCCUUUGAUUACUGAACACUCAGGUCACUCGGAAGAGUGGAAGCCUCAUCAGAAACCUUCGGGUUUGACAGGACAUCUGUUUCCAGGAGCACGGUGGGUGUAAACAGAGCAGCUGCCAGCCUCUGUCCUGGUUGGGGUUUUGUGUUUGCUGGUUUUUCUUUUUUUUUUUUUUUAAACACAUUAUACUCUAUUAAAACCACCCCUAUUUGGCAUCAAAAGCAUUAAUAAAUCCCACAUAAGGCACAGUCCCUCCAGUGGUUAAUCAAUCCAUAAAAAUCUAUUUAGCACCUACUGUGUGUCCAGCAUUUCAAUCCCAUGACGUUGAUUAAAGCAGGAAGUAAGGAGUCACAGCUGCCAAAUUUUCACCAUGGCCACCGUGCUCUGUGAUGUGUCACAAAGGCAUUUGCCAAUCAUGCAAUCAACCAUUUACUGAGAACCUGCUUUGUUGCUCAACUCUGUGCUGGCGACUCUCAGGAAGACAGGGAAGGGCUACCUGGUUUCUGCCUGAGCAGCAAGUGAUGAAGGAGAGUGAGCGUAUGAGAGAGUAAGAGAGUGAGCCCAAUCGUGGACUGACCACACAAUUGACCCUGGUUUACUGUGAGAAAGGACACAGACUGUGAACACCAGGAGCUUGACUACAUUUCCCAGCGUCCUUUGGAGUGAGACUACAUCUCCCAGCAUCCUGGCAGUUAGACAAUUUUCUAGUCUCCUUUGCAGGGAUCUUGGAAGCCCCAUGUUGAAGGUGGCAGAGCAACAAAAAUUGAGGAAACCCUGAAUCCCUGAAUUACUAUUUGGAGAUGACCACCCACUAAUUCGGAACACUCAUUAUUGGGCUUUAGGAGAAUGAGAAGUUCUAUCAUGUUUGAGACUCCGUACAUCUUUGGAUUUGUUUUAACAGCUAGUUUUACCCUGGCUAACAUGGCAAUUGACAGCCUCUGAGAGGAGAUUUGGAGAAUCUGCUUUUUUAACAAGUACUCCAGGGGAGUUUGAGAAUCACUGCUGAAAGCCAAGGGGAGCCAGCCACCCAAGGAUUUAACGCUGACCAAGGAACACCACGCUAUUUGCAUUUUAGAAUGACAGCAAGGGAGCAGAACUCUGCCCCCUUCUUGUCUGCCAAGGAGAACAAUCUACUGACUCAAAAGAAAAAGAAAACUUUGGUAAGAGAAAAUUGAAGCUCUAGAUGAGUGAAAAGAUUCUAACAGCACCAAGCUGCCGUAAAUGAGCUCAAGUCUCCUGGCCAGGACAAAUUACACUCCAGGGAGUAGAGAGAACUCGCCUCUGAAGCUGUAAAGCCUCUGCUGAUAAUCUUUACAGAACAUGGAGACUGUGAAAGAAAUUGGAACGCUAGAAAUGGCAAAAUAUAGCUCUGAUUAGUAAAGAGGGGGAAAGCUUCUGCAAACUACAAAAGUGGGGCUAUCCUAUCCAUCCUCAUUAAAUUCCCUGAUCAGACUACUUAAGGCUGAGCUGUGAGUACGUGAAAAAUGGAGCAGAAUCCUCUAGAAGCCUGUGUGGGUUCUUUAAGAGCAAGCCACGACAAGAUGAAAAAACAAGAGCCUAAAGAAGGGAGGCAACUUUUCCAAAGCCACACAUUAAACCUGUGGCAGUUAAGAGCCAGAACUGUGGUAUCCUGGCCCUCAGCCCCACACCUCUACUGCAAUACCUGGGAUGUGGGCCCAUGGAUUGAUUUAUGGAUUUUGACUAACAUAUCUUCAAUUGAGCAAUCACUCGGAUGAUCGAUUGAACACUCCUUCACCAAACAAGGCUGGAGGCCUGGGAUGGACGCCGGUGGUUUGAGAUAUGCAGAAGAAAUGGGUCCUGCCCUCCGGAACACUCCAGAGAAUAUCAUGGCACUUUAUAACAUCAGUGUCAAUCAGCAUUGAUUGACAAGCCCCCUGGACUUUGGAUGACUUCUCUGAAGCCCCAGCUGUGCCUGGCUGGGCCAUCUCCCUUCUCCACUUGGCCACAGCAUAAACUGCAGUCAAGCCACAGGAGUGACCUCAAGGCCUCAGGCCACUUUUCCAGCCUCAGCUUUUCUUAGGGGCCCAGCCCACUUACAAUAGAAAUUUGCCAAAGACUGGGUUGGUAAGUAAUGGAUAAGUUUUCAUAUUUACUAUUUUCAUUUCUGAAUCUCUCUUUACAUGCAGUUAAGCCAGGAAAUCCUGAAAGAACACUCUUCAGAAUGUUUUUAAGUAAAACAACAAGUUUCUGUUAAUUUAGGGCCAACCCAUGAGUAAACAGAUAGAGCCUGAGGUAUUCUGCACCCUGUAAUUUGUGGACUUCUUAGGAUCUUUUAAAAUAAAGAUGAAUAGUGGG